UACGUAGGGGGCAAGCGUUGUCCGGAAUCAUUGGGCGUAAAGAGCGUGUAGGCGGCCCGGUAAGUCCGCUGUGAAAGUCGGGGGCUCAACCCUCGAAUGCCGGUGGAUACUGUCGGGCUAGAGUGCGGAAGAGGCGAGUGGAAUUCCUGGUGUAGCGGUGAAAUGCGCAGAUAUCAGGAGGAACACCAAUUGCGAAGGCGGCUCUCUGGGACGGUACUGACGCUGAGACGCGAAAGCGUGGGGAGCGAACAGG
rnacentral:rRNA from 1 species